rnacentral:tRNA from 1 species
GCGCUGGUGGUUCAGUGGUAGAAUUCUCGCCCGCCACGUAGGAGACCGGGGUUCGAUUCCCCGCUAGCGCA